rnacentral:rRNA from 1 species
CCUACGGGUGGCAGCAGUGAGGACUAUUGGUCAAUGGGCUUACGCCUGAACCAGCCAAAUCGCGUGAGGGAAGACUGCCCUAUGGGUUGUAAACCUCUUUUGUCAGGGAGCAACGCCGGCUACGUGUAGCCGGACUGAGAGUACCUGAAGAAAAAGCAUCGGCUAACUCCGUGCCAGCAGCCGCGGUAAUACGGAGGAUGCGAGCGGUAUCCGGAUUUAUUGGGUUUAAAGGGUGCGUAGGCGGAAUGCCAAGUCAGCGGUAAAAUCGCGGGGCUAAAGCGAGCUCCGCCGUUGAACCGGGCGUUCUUGAGUUGGCGUGAAGUAUGCGGAAUGCGUGGUGUAGCGGUGAAAUGCAUAGAUGUCACGCAGAACUCCGAUUGCGAAGGCAGCAUACCGGCGCCCAACUGACGCUGAAGCACGAAAGCGUGGGUAUCGAACAGGAUUAGAUACCCGUGUAGUC